rnacentral:rRNA from 1 species
AUUGAACGCUGGCGGCGUGCCUUACACAUGCAAGUCGAACGGCAGCACGGGAGCAAUCCUGGUGGCGAGUGGCGAACGGGUGAGUAAUAUAUCGGAACGUGCCCGGUCGUGGGGGAUAACGUAGCGAAAGCUACGCUAAUACCGCAUACGAUCUACGGAUGAAAGCGGGGGAUCGCAAGACCUCGCGCGAUUGGAGCGGCCGAUAUCAGAUUAGGUAGUUGGUGAGGUAAAGGCUCACCAAGCCGACGAUCUGUAGCUGGUCUGAGAGGACGACCAGCCACACUGGGACUGAGACACGGCCCAGACUCCUACGGGAGGCAGCAGUGGGGAAUUUUGGACAAUGGGCGCAAGCCUGAUCCAGCAAUGCCGCGUGCAGGAUGAAGGCCUUC